UCUGGAACUCUCUCUGUGUUAAAUAAAGUGAAAGUAAGCAGGUGUACGUAUUUGAUAAAGUCAAUUAUUCCAAUACAACAUUCCUCCACGGACCCUAAGAUCUGGAAAUCAGUCAGAUGUUUGCAAUACAGGGACAGGGGUUUUUUCACAAAGAUGCCUUUUUUGUGAUAGACUGAGAAAACAACAUAAUGGGAGUUAUGAAGCUCUCACAAGUUGUUGCACAGAAAAUAUUCAAAUUGGUAUAAUUAAUGACGCUACUAUCCUUGAAGAUCAAUCUAUAUUAAGGAAGAUAGAGAAUUUUGAGUGUAAUCUGCAAUUGGUUUCGAAAGAAAUUAAAUACCAUAAUUCGUGCCGGAAAAAGUUUGCUUCUGCCGCAAGAAGUGUAGUGAAGAAACGAGAUGAGGAACGCCAAUCUAAAUGGCUUUCAAACAAGAACAUUCGUGAAAAAGCUCAGCAAAACCUUUUUGCAUUUUUGGAAGAGAAACUCGUUAAGGAAGAAGAGGUACAUUGUGCAAGUGAUAUUACAAAACACUUUCAAAUGCUGCUAUCCGAACAUGGAUUAGAUUAUGAUAGCGGAGGAAGAGUACGCAAAUGUGAAGUUUUAGCAAAAUUGAUGAGCCAUUUUGGUGAUAAAUUAAAAGUCGUGAACCAUUCCGACAAAGGUGUUGGGCAAAUUAUGUUCAAAUCCGACUUAGGAGUUGAAAAAGCUUUACUGGCAACUUUUGAUACGGAUAUCAGUUCAUGUUAAAAGGUAAAAGAGAUCGCUUUCAUGCUUCGUAAUUUGAUAUUGGAAACGCCUCGCAAAGUUUUGCCGAAAAACGUUACUAUUCUUUCCGGAGAAGUUAAAGCACCGAGUUUCCUUAGAACUUUUCAUGAAUGCUUGGUAGCAGGUAAACUUUAUUAUAAAAAAGAAACGUGAAUCGAAUUGGUGUGUACUAAUGGAUGACACUAUUUUUGCCGUCACCAAUGGGUUGUAUGAGCAAUCAAAGGAACUCAUGCUGGGAAUGUACUUAAAAACUACUACAGGUAAACGUGAAGUAAUUGACGUAAUGAAUCGUUUCGGGCAUUAAGUGAGCUACAAUUUUGUUGAAGAUUUGGAAACAGAGCUGGCUUUUGGUGCUGUUGAGGAAUCGAAAUUAUUACCUGAUAGUUUGCAUCGCCGACCUGACCUCAACACUACAGUUGCAUUUGAUAAUUUCGACCUUUUCGUCGAAACGCUUACGGGAAAAGAUACCUUGCAUGACACCGUUAGAAUCGUCACACAAGAUAUUCCUCCUGAUGGUGACGACUUUCUUCCUUUGACUGAAUCGGAAGACGAAGAUGACGUAACCGUGGGAACAGGGAAGCGACGACGAGCAUUCAUAACAAGAGAUGUCUCGAUUGGACCUUACUACAAAAAGGCAAGAAUGUUGUAUGAGCCCAUGCUGGCUAUAACAGACAGAAGGAGGUCAAUUCCAGCACCUGGAUCUUUCAAUACUGCACUUGAUCUCGACUUCAUAUGGAUGGUAUCAUUAUGCCACAGCCUGCCUAAUACUCCAAUGUGGACUGGAUGGAAUUCCCGGAUUGUCAAAGAUGUCCUACCGUUACAAAGAGUAUGCUAUUUGUCGGCAAUAGAUGCAUCACCAACUCGAGCGGAUGUGGUAAAAAAGACAAUGGAAAGAUCUGUUCGCAUCUUGAAGGAGUGUAACCAGAAAUAUAUCUCCGUUACUUACGACCUCGCCAUAGCAAAACAAGUGCUAUGUAUCCAGUCCACGGAAAAGCCGAAAUUUAAUAACCUUUUUAUUCAGCUAGGAUCUUUCCACAUUUUCCUCUCGUUUUUUAAAGCAGUAGGCAAAUUCAUUGCUGAGUCUGGUGCUCCAUAUGCACUAACAGAAAGCGGAGUACUGGCUGCGUGAUCACUUAACGGUUUUUUUAUUGGAACCAAUUUUUGUCGGUGCAAUCGCAUCCACCCACUCCUUGCGGUUUCACUAGAGAUGCUUUAUUUUCGUGCAUUCGUGAAAAAGGAAGACAAUCCAUCAAUGUUAGAUAGCCUGCCGAGUUUGUUGCGUGCUUUAAAAAUCGGAGAUAAGGAUCCCUGUGGAGACAACGUUUUCCAUCAGUCCAUUCCAAUUGAACUCUUGGA